rnacentral:rRNA from 1 species
UACAGAGGUCUCAAGCGUUGUUCGGAUUCACUGGGCGUAAAGGGUGCGUAGGUGGCGGGGUAAGUCGGAUGUGAAAUCUCCGAGCUCAACUCGGAAAUGGCAUUGGAAACUACCUUGCUCGAGGGUUGGAGGGGGGGACUGGAAUACUUGGUGUAGCAGUGAAAUGCGUAGAUAUCAAGUGGAACACCAGUGGCGAAGGCGAGUCCCUGGACAACUCCUGACACUGAGGCACGAAAGCUAGGGGAGCAAACGGG